rnacentral:misc_RNA from 1 species
CUGUUCGAGCGUCAUUGCAACCCUCAAGCACUGCUUGGUAUUAGAUGCCACCACUGUGGUGCGUCUUAAAAGUAUUGGCGGCGGCAUUCAGCUUCUAGCGUAGUAAUCUUCUCGCCUUGGAGUUUGAGUGUCCGACUGCUAGAACCCCUAAUUUAUCAAAGGUUGACCUCGGAUCAGGUAGGGAUACCCGCUGAACUUAG